rnacentral:lncRNA from 1 species
UGCCUCACCUCACCGUCCUAAAUGUAUCUACUACUUGUCAAGAGUGUUAGGCUUAGUUUGGUAUCGAGGCCUAUCCAACGCUAAUCGUAACCGACUCAUCGCGAUAUACGAAAUGCAAUAUUACAUACGAAAAUAAACAGAAUAUUUUUUCAACGUAUUUUUUCACUGUAACGCAAUCUCUCCGCAAUUCCAAACGAAGCCUUAGUCAUUAAUCUCCACUCCAUAUUUUAACAAUUGGUCACAAAUUGCAAUGAUCUUAGAUAUCAAAUAACCAACUCAAACCUUAA